GCGUCCGGUAACCAAGCUGGCAGUACUUCAGAUUGAAGGAGAUAGUAACGAAGAAUCGGUAGUAGGACCGGAGGUUCGUUACGGGGCGGGGGAUGUUACGGCCACUGGCAGCACUGGUGAAGUUGUGAGUGACAACCCCUCAGCUGUCCGACCCUGUCAAUGAACGUCAAGCCCAUGACGUUAUCGUCGUUCGUAAACAUCAAAACAUCGUGACUCCGAGAAUUAUUACAUCCAACCAAAACGUGCAAUUUUCUUAUAAUUAAUUCCAAGUCAGAUUAACUGCUACGAUCGAUUGUGAUAGGAUUUAGUGGGCAACAAACCUUUGUUUAAGGCACAGCGUAGAUCCAGUAGGGUAUCAGUACGGGAACAAUUUAGAAAUCAGAACAGAACUUAAAGAAACAACGUGGAAAAACCCUAUAGCCCGACUCUGUGAAUUUGUUUUGGAUGACUAAGGGUGAAACUAAAUGUAGGUAACCUUAUAAAAACAUGCGAUUGAAAACACUAAUAAAUGGUAUCUUUUCUAGCUUUGAGCUACAUACGCCAAAAGGGUGGUUGCUACACAGAA